rnacentral:tRNA from 1 species
GUCAAGAUGGCCGAGUGGUCUAAGGCGCUGCACUCAAGAUAUCGUCUUAUCUUACCUGGUCAGCUAGGUCUUGCAGUAUCGAAAGAUUCUUGGGUUCGAAUCCCAAUCUUGACA